rnacentral:lncRNA from 1 species
GGGGUAAUAUUGUUAAUCAGGUCAAGAUCUAUCUGCCCUGAAAUUUUCAGAUGAAUUGGACAUUUCGUUGUUGGGUUGCUGCUCCUGAAAUGGUAAUUUUAAGGAAAUUUUGCUGUUUUUGGUUAUUAUCUUGAAUAUUAUUAUAGAUAGAGAUAAACUGUAAACAGCAAUAAUGUUCAGCAAAGUAAGAUCUACAAAUACAUGUAAGUCAACAUGACCAAAAUGGUCAGUUGACCACUUUAGGAGUUAUUGCCCUUUAUAGUCAAUUUUUAACCAUUUUUCGUAAAUCUUAGUAAUCUUUUAGAAAAAUCUUCUCCUCUGAAACUGCUGGGCCAAAUUUAACCAAACUUGGCCAUAAUCAUCAUUGGGGUAUCUAGUUUAAAAAAUGUGUCCAGUGACCCGGC